rnacentral:rRNA from 1 species
CGAAAACGAAUUCUCUCUUGAGUGGAUCCUGAGUACGACGGAGCACGUGAAAUUCCGUCGGAAUCUGGGAGGACCAUCUCCUAAGGCUAAAUACUCUCUAGUGACCGAUAGUGAACCAGUACCGUGAGGGAAAGGUGAAAAGUACCCCGGAAGGGGAGUGAAAGAGAACUUGAAACCGUGUGCUUACAAGUAGUCAGAGCCCGUUAAUGGGUGAUGGCGUGCCUUUUGUAGAAUGAACCGGCGAGUUACGAUCUGAUGCAAGGUUAAGCAGAAAAUGUGGAGCCGUAGCGAAAGCGAGUCUGAAUAGGGCGAAUGAGUAUUUGGUCGUAGACCCGAAACCAGGUGAUCUACCCUUGGUCAGGUUGAAGUUCAGGUAACACUGAAUGGAGGACCGAACCGACUUACGUUGAAAAGUGAGCGGAUGAACUGAGGGUAGCGGAGAAAUUCCAAUCGAACUUGGAGAUAGCUGGUUCUCUCCGAAAUAGCUUUAGGGCUAGCCUCAAGUGAUGAUUAUUGGAGGUAGAGCACUGUUUGGACGAGGGGCCCCUCUCGGGUUACCGAAUUCAGACAAACUCCGAAUGCCAAAUAAUUUAACUUGGGAGUCAGAAUGUGGGUGAUAAGGUCCAUAU